rnacentral:lncRNA from 1 species
GUGUGUGUGUGUGUGUGCUCACGUGCACGCACGCACAAUGAUCUUCCUGUCUUGCCUGAAUUACCAACAAAAUUACUAGGAGUCAUUAUCUCACACCCGCAGAAAAAUAUAAGAAACUAUUCGAGUUUAUACACGCACUUUUAAUUUGGAAAAGGUAAUGUAAUGUACUCUUUUGAUGGGAUACAAAGUGUUGUCACUGUAUAAGGCAACACCCCAGGAUUUGAUUGUUUGUAGACGUAAUGACAUGACUAACCACAGACAGCAGUAAUCUCAUGUUACUUUCAUUCUCACAGUAGCGUUACAGCUUCUCAUAUGGUACAUUGUAACUUUGUAAAGUCAUGCAAUAAUGAGAGCAAUAUUUGUACAAAUGCAAGAUCCCCUUCUACAUACUGUUGACUAGAACAUGUUGAUUGUACAUUAAGUAUUAAAAAUUAGAUGUAUGUUCUUCGUUGCUUGCUACUCCUAAGAACAUAAUGAUCUUCGCCUUUUUUGUUAGCAGUGCGCCGUACUUUCCGUUGUUAUUCAUAUCUUACUGUGGACACUCUUGACUUUUUCUUGUUUUCAAAUUUUAUUUUUUACUUAACUCGCUGAUUUUGUGGUGCUGUGUGGACCAAUGAGCUGUAUUCCCUACCCCAACUGAAAACAUUUUUUAAAAAAAAUUAAUAAACCUUAUUUUCAGAGGA